rnacentral:rRNA from 1 species
UACGUAGGUGACCAGCGUUGUCCGGAUUUACUGGGCGUAAAGAGCGCGCAGGCGGUCGUUCAAGUCGAGUGUGAAAGCCCCCGGCUCAACUGGGGAGGGUCACUCGAUACUGAUCGACUUGAAGGCAGGAGAGGGAAGCGGAAUUCCCGGUGUAGUGGUGAAAUGCGUAGAUAUCGGGAGGAACACCAGUGGCGAAGGACGGCCUU